rnacentral:misc_RNA from 1 species
UUUCCGUAGGUGAACCUGCGGAAGGAUCAUUAUUGUAUAACCGAGGUGCGAGGGCUGUCGCUGACCCGAAAGGUCGUGCACGCCCGAGUGCCCUCACACACAUCCAUCUCACCCCUAUGCACACCACCGCGUGGGUCCCCCUUUGGCUUGUUCGGAGGGGGGCUUACGUUUUCACACAAACUUUGUAUGCAGUGUAGAAUGUAUUUUUUGUUUUUGCGAUCACGCAAUCAAUACAACUUUCAACAACGGAUCUCUUGGCUCUC